rnacentral:rRNA from 1 species
GUGCCAGCCGCCGCGGUAAGACGUAGGAGGCGAGCGUUGUCCGGAUUCAUUGGGCGUAAAGAGCACGCAGGCGGUUUGGCAAGUCGGACGUGAAAAUCCGGGGCUCAACCCCGGACCUGCAUCCGAAACUGCCCGACUAGAGGUAGGUAGGGGAGAUCGGAAUUCCUGGUGUAGCGGUGAAAUGCGCAGAUAUCAGGAGGAACACCGGUGGCGAAGGCGGAUCUCUGGGCCUUACCUGACGCUCAGGUGCGAAAGCUAGGGGAGCGAACAGGAUUAGAAACCCCCGUAGUCC